ACCGGCAGCUCAAGUGGUGGCCAUUUUUAUUGGGCCUAAAGCGUUCGUAGCCGGUUUGAUAAGUCUCUGGUGAAAUCCCGCAGCUUAACUGUGGGACUUGCUGGAGAUACUAUUAGACUUGAGGUCGGGAGAGGUUAGGGGUACUCCCAGGGUAGGGGUGAAAGCCACUAAUCUGGGGAGGAACACCGGCGGCGAAGGCGCCUAACUGGAACGAACCUGACGGUGAGUAUCGAAAGCCAGGUGCGCGACCCG
rnacentral:rRNA from 1 species